GUGAGUCAUCGAAUCUUUGAACGCACAUUGCGCCCGCUAGUAUUCUGGCGGGCAUGCCUGUUCGAGCGUCAUUUCAACCAUCAAGCCCCCGGGCUUGCGUUGGGGCCCUGCGGCUGCCGCAGGCCCUGAAAAACAGUGGCGGGCUCGCUGUCACACCGAGCGUAGUAUUGUAUCUCGCUUUGGCCGUGCGGCGGGUGCCAGCCGUUAAACACCCCCCUUCCACAAGGUUGACCUCGGAUCAGGUAGGAAUACCCGCUGAACUUAAGCAUAUCAAUAAGCGGAGGA
rnacentral:misc_RNA from 1 species